UUGGUUAGGCUAGGUUAUGUUAAGUUUGGCUAGGUUUCUUUAGGUUAGGUUAGGUGAGGUUAGGUUAGGUUAGGUAAGGCUUGGCUAGGUUAGGCUUGCUUAGGUAAGGUUUGGCUAGGUUAGGUUAGGUUAGGUUAGGUAAGGCUUGGCUAGGUUAGGCUUGCUUAGGUAAGGUUUGGCUAGGCUAGGUUAGGUUAGGUUAGGUAAGGCUUGGCUAGGUUAGGCUUGCUUAGGUAAGGUUUGGCUAGGUUAGGUUAGGUUAGGUUAGGUUAGGUUAGGUAAGGCUUGGCUAGGUUAGGCUUGCUUAGGUAAGGUUUGGCUAGGCUAGGUUAGGUUAGGUUAG